ACGACUCUCAGCAACGGAUAUCUUGGCUCUUGCAACGAUGAAGAACGCAGCGAAAUGUGAUACCUAGUGUGAAUUGCAGAAUUCUGUGAAUCAUCAAGUCUUUGAACGCAAGUUGCACCCGAGGCUUAUCCCGAGGGCAUGCCUGCCUGAGCGUCACC
rnacentral:rRNA from 1 species